AGUGAACGCUGGCGGUAGGCCUAACACAUGCAAGUCGAACGGCAGCACAGUAAGAGCUUGCUCUUACGGGUGGCGAGUGGCGGACGGGUGAGGAAUACAUCGGAAUCUACUUUUUCGUGGGGGAUAACGUAGGGAAACUUACGCUAAUACCGCAUACGACCUACGGGUGAAAGCAUGGGAUCUUCGGACCUUGCGCGAUUGAAUGAGCCGAUGUCGGAUUAGCUAGUUGGCGGGGUAAAAGCCCACCAAGGCGACGAUCCGUAGCUGGUCUGAGAGGAUGAUCAGACAAAAUGGAACUGAGACAGGGUCCAGACUCCUUCGAGAGGAAGCAGAGGGGAACAUUGGACAAUGGGCGCAAUCCUGAUCCAGGCAUACCGCGUGGGUGAAGAAGGCCUUCGGGUUGUAAAGCCGUUUUGUUGGGAAAGAAAAGCAGCAGCUUAAUACCCCGCUGGUCUGACGGUAACCAAAGAAUAAGCACCGGCUAACUUCGUG
rnacentral:rRNA from 1 species